GACGAACGCUAGCGGCGUGCUUAACACAUGCAAGUCGAACGGAAAGGCCCUGCUUUUGUGGGGUGCUCGAGUGGCGAACGGGUGAGUAACACGUGAGUAACCUGCCCUUGACUUUGGGAUAACUUCAGGAAACUGGGGCUCAUACCGCAUAGGAGCUCCUGCUGCAUGGUGGGGGUUGGAAAGUUUCGGCGGUUGGGGAUGGACUCGCGGCUUAUCAGCUUGUUGGUGGGGUAGUGGCGUACCAAGGCUUUGACGGGUAGCCGGCCUGAGAGGGUGACCGGCCACAUUGGGACUGAGAGACGGCCCAGACUCCUACGGGAGGCAGCAGUGGGGAAUAGUGCACAAUGGGCGGAAGCAGGAAGCAGCAACGCCGCGUGCGGAAGGACGGCCUUCGGGUUAUAAACCGCGUUCGCCUGUGACGAAGCGUGAGUGACGGUAAUGGGUAAAGAAGCACCGGCUAACUACGUG
rnacentral:rRNA from 1 species